rnacentral:lncRNA from 1 species
CCUCUAAAUGAGUUGCCCCUCUUCCUCAAUUGAUCAUUAGGGGAAAACCUCUAAAUUUCUCUUAUUUUUUGUUGAUUGUGCUCCGUGAUUCACUGCCAAUUUAUCAUUAGAGGUGAGAUAAUCCACCUUAAUCUCUUCUCCAUAGCCAUCCCCGAGUCCAUCAACCAUCGUUAAUGGGUUUAAUCGCUUGAUUGCCACUGG